AUGGAGGUUCCCAGGCUACCGGGAGAAUCGGAGAUUUGGCCUACACCACAGCCACAGCAACAUGGGAUCCGAGCCACAUCUGCAACAUACACUGCAGCUCAUGGCAACGCUGGACGCUUAACCCACUGAGAAAAGUCAGGGAUCGAACCUGCAUCCUCAAGGAUGCUAGUCAGAUUCAUUUCCACUGAGCCACGACAGGAACUUCGAGGCCAGCUAUUGUUAUGGAUGUAGGGAACCCCUCUGCUUUGCCUCCUAAAGGUCUGUGUCUUUGUCUUUCUGGCUUCCCUAGGAGAAAUUUGACAUUAAAAUAUAAGGAUCUUCUAAAAAAAAUAUUCAUUUCAUUUUCAUUUCUUAACUCAAAUUGGAAAAUUCUUUGAAAUCUUGUCUCUGAAAAAGAGAUGUACCCUUAGAUUUUUAAGACUACUCAAGUUAACAAAAUCCAACAAUGAUACCAGAAGGCCUCCAUUGUGCAUGUGUUUAACUUCUGAAAUGCAUAUAAAAAACAUUAAUCUUCCACAUUUAAGUGGAACAAUAGUGACAUAAGGACAAUCCUGAAGAAUGACUCCUUCAACACUUUGUAAUUCUCAUAAACAACCUUUUCUUAGGAAAGCCAUAAAAAGAGUCAGUUUUUCCUGAGUCGGAGCAAUUUUAUCUAACUAAUAGCACCCUCUGGACUUUUAAAAAAUCAACAUUUUCUGUGACAAAUCAAAUUUGGACGUGCCUCAUAAAGAAGCUCCCAAGGGGACAUUCAUGCUUAUUUUCUUCCUUAAGAGCUAGAGCAAAGGUUAGCAAAUCAUGGCCUGAGGGCCACAUUUGGCCCUCUGACUGGUUUUAUAAAUAAAGUUUUAUUGGAACACAGACACAGUCUUGUUGGCAUAUUGCCUAUGGCUAUUUUCAAGCAUAGGGACAGAGUUGAGUAAUUCUAAAGUAACCACCUGGCCCCACAAAGCCUAAAAUAUUUGCUCUCAGGCCCUUUACAAAAGAAAACUUGCUCUCUCCUGAUCUGAAGGAAUCUGCAUCACUCCUUUAGACGGAAAGUCAGGAUACUUAGAUUUUUGACUCCAUUCCGCCAGUAAACUGCUAUUUGACCUUGGGGCAAGUAAUCACUUCUCUCAGGGUUAACUUCUUAUUUAUAAAAGGAGGUUCAGCCCAGGCGAUCAUUUAUUCUUCUAAAUGUCUGUGCUCCAAGGGGUUAAGAUAUUUCCUCAUAAUAUGAUAGUUUAAAGAAAUCCAAAUUAAUUUGAAAACAAGCCUUUCUCCCAAACCCAUGUUUACUGUGAAAGGUUUCACAUCAUUUCCAGCAUUUAACAACCCAGUGAUACCCCCUUGCUACCGUAUCAUGGACACGCCAGAAAGCUGCAGAUUAGAGCUGGAAAGAGAAUGUAAACAGCAGUAAAAUCUGUUUUAGACAAGGCAGCACAUCUGGCCCACACUCUCCUAGAACAGAUGCACUGCAUUGCUUGUGCCAGAGAUGAAUGUUCUUUUCUGUCAUGGUUUUGGGAGGUGAGCGCCCUUUCUCUGCCACAGCUCUGGGAUCUGAAGGGAAACAGCGGGAGUCUCCACACAAAAAAAGCCCUUUGAAUUGAUGGCAAAAGCAAAACUCCUUUGUUUCAUGAGGAAUGGGGCUGUGUACUGUCAGAACGUGGGUGCUAUGGGCACCUUCUACUUUAAGCCCUUUCUCUCUGGACACAUGACACAAGGCUAGAAAAGUAACAAAAUGAUGGUAGAGCAAAAAUAGUCUCCUUUCUUCCAAACUCUCCCCAACAACCAAAGAAUCUUUUGCAAUUGCUUUUUUGACAGAGUAAAAUACUUCAGAUACUACAUUACCCUAAAACCAAAGACCCCGAAAGUGCUUUAAACAGAGGGCAGAAAAUACAAUUGAUCUCAAUGCUAAUGACUAUGAUUUUAAAACCAGCAAGCCUGUUAUCUUUAAAAUAAACAUUUUUCUGGAGUUCCUGUCGUGGCGCAGUGGUUAAUGAAUCCGACUAGGAACCAUGAGGUUGCGGGUUCGGUCCCUGGCCUUGCUCAGUGGGUUAAAGAUCCGGCAUUGCCGUGAGCUGUGGUGUAGGUCGCAGAUGCGGCUCGGAUCCCACGUUGCUGUGGCUCUGGCGUAGGCCGGCAGCUAAAGCACCGAUUCGACCCCUAGCCUGGGAACCUCCAUGUGCUGCGGAAGCGGCCCAAGACAUGACAAAAAAAAAAAAAAAAAAAAAAACCAAAACAUUUUUCUCCCAUUUCUCUUUUGCCUGGAAAAAAAAAGAUGUGUGCAGGUAUCACUGCAUCUCUGAACCAGAAAUGACUGGUUCUUGGUCUCCAAAGCCAGGGAUGUGGUGUAUGAACAGGUGUAUAUGGAAUUUAGAAAGCAUAAUGAAUGCUCACUCACUUUAAAACACUGUAUUUUGCUGGUUCCCGUUAGGGCUCAGCGGUAGCAAACUUGACUAGUAUCCUAACUAAUAUGAGAUGGGGGUUCAAUCGCUGGCCCCGCUCAAUGCAUUAAGGAUCCAGCACUACUGUGACCUGUGGUGUAGGUCACAGAUGCUGUUCGGAUCCCGAGUUGCUGUGGUUAUGGCAUACAUAGGCUGGCAGGUGCAGUUCUGAUUCGACCCCUAGCGUGGGAACUUCCAUAUGGUGCGGGUGUGGCCUUAAAAGAAAAACAAAAAACAAAGUUUUUACAAACCCAAAGAGAACCAACCCUACCAAUAACAUUCGGAGCUUGGUUACCAGCGUCUCACCCACAUCUUCUAAGGUAUGCUGAGUUCUCUGCAUUUACCACACACGAUAGAAUUUGGCUGCGACCUCUGUUUUCCACAGUGCCUUUCUUUGCAAGCAGAAGAUACCAGUGCAUUCUGUCUAUCAUUUCUGCUAGAUCGUCUUUCCAAAUCCCCAAGAACAGCACUCUGUGCUUUUUUUCCUCUCUCUCUCUCUCUCACAUAGAAACCUCUGAACUGGAUGCUAAUAUCUUGCAGACCAAGCUUGAGCCAAAAUGGAUUUAAAAAUCUAAGCUGGCAUAUCUGCAUCCGUCUAAGGAGUUUCAAAGGAAGAACUGCAAUGUUAAGCUGAUUAGCGGAGCUGUGGAUCACCCUCCUCCCCGCCCCUCCCCCAGGCUCUGUCUUUCACUUUACCUUCUCUUCUCGGCCAGUCAGUAUUUUUCUCAUUCUCUCAGAUCCAGCGUAAGUCCCAUCUCUGUGAUCACACUUCUCUGGAGCCCUCACAAUACUCUGAACACAGAAGGGGCUUAGAAAUCUUGUUGGUUUGUUUUGAGAGUCUUCCUAGAUGGCCUCAGCCAGGUUGAUCUCCACCUUCCUUAACUCCUUGGAGGUUCACUGUCUCUCCCACACAAUUAACACCUUAUGCGCCUCAGCUGUGAGAGCCUGGACCGCAUACUACACUUCAUUUCUGCUUUAUAAUGGUUUCCUGUGAGGUGGUUUUCUUUCUCCAAUUAGAUCGUCUUCUCUCCAUGGAUGAAAGUGUUUUCCAUACUGUUUAGUAAACUGUUCGGCACAUAGUAAACAUCUAAUAAAUACUUUUUUUUUUUUCUAUCAACAGCGGCUCUGUUUACAUAGCUUGAAAGGUUCCACAGCUUGCCAGUUGUGUUGUGGGCAACUAUAGAUCCAACAUCUGUAUCAGAAACAGCAAUAAGGGCAUACAGCGGAAACCCCCAAAUGAGAUAAUUUUAAUAAAAAUAUGUGGACUACCAGGGCCAAAUGAAAAGGACUGUUUCAGUCAUGACUUGCAUGCAGUGUGGAGAAUCUAAACACAGGAAAGAAGAGCUAAGUAAACGAGGAAGGCUGGGUACAGAAUUCACUCAUAGCAAGGAGAUGGAAUUUAACUCAGUGAUCCAGGAUAGGCCAAAAUGGUUACAAAACUUAACAAUUCAUUCCUUCAUUCACUGACGCAAUAAUCACAUCUUGAGUCUGGCUACACAUAUAACCCGUUUGGAAACCAACAUAAUCUUUUACAGCCUGCCCAGUUUCUUUGAGGCUCACGGAUUU
ensembl:lncRNA